rnacentral:misc_RNA from 1 species
ACAGGACUUAUUUGCUGAAUUACGUCCUAACAUGACGAGAUAUGCAUCAAUUGAAGAAGUCAAUGCUGCUUUAGUUGACCUUGAGGAACAUGAGCGCAUAGUUACAUCUGAAAAAGCCAACAAUGAGAAGCACUCUGAGACCGAGAAAAUUCCCAGCAGAACUACCUCUGGAAUGUCUGUAAAUGGGCAAAGCCUUUCAAAUGGCAUUGAGGAAAAUGGAUUGCAUGAAGAGGUUGUGGAGACUGAAAGUGAUUCAGAGAAUGGCACCAUUGAGCAUGUGGCUCAUGAUGAUGAUGAAGAGACAGACGAUUGGAAUCGGGAUGAUAGGUGUGACACUGAGGAUGAAUCUGAUGAGGGCGAUGGACCUGGUUCUGAUGAGGAAGAUAAAGUACAUGUCAGAUCAAAGGUUGCAGAGGUUGAUCCUCUGGAGGAAGCAGAAUUUGAGAGAGAGCUUCGGGCUCUGAUGCAGGAAAGUUUGGAUUCAAGAAAAUUGGAAUUACGGGGAAGACCUACGCUAAACAUGACAAUACCAAUGAAUGUCUUUGAGGGCCCGACCAAGGACCAUCGCGGGGUUGAGGGAGAGAGUGGUGAUGAGACAUUGGAUGAAGCGACUGGAGGAAGUAAAGAGGUUCCAGUGAAGGUUCUCGUGAAGCGAGGUAAUAAGCAACAGACAAAGAAAAUGCUCAUUCCUCGUGAUUGCUCCCUCAUUCAGAGCACGAAACAGAAAGAAGCA